rnacentral:misc_RNA from 1 species
GAAAUGCGAUAAGUAAUGUGUAUUGCAGAAUUCAGUGAAUCAUCGAAUCUUUGAACGCACAUUGCGCCCGCCAGUAUUCUGGCGGGCAUGCCUGUCCGAGCGUCAUUUCAACCAUCAAGCCCCCGGGCUUGUGUUGGGGACCUGCGGCUGCCCGCAGGCCCUGAAAACCAGUGGCGGGCUCGCUGUCACACCGAGCGUAGUAGCAAUCACCUCGCUCAGGGCGUGCUGCGGGUUCCGGCCGUUAAACAGCCUUACAAAACCCAAGGUUGACCUCGGAUCAGGUAGGAAGACCCGCUGAACUUAAGC